rnacentral:rRNA from 1 species
GUCCACGCCCUAAACGAUGAUUACUCGACAUUAGCGAUACUACUGUUAGUGUCUAAGCGAAAGCAUUAAGUAAUCCACCUGGGAAGUACGACCGCAAGGUUGAAACUCAAAGGAAUUGGCGGGGGUCCGCACAAGUGGUGGAGCAUGUGGUUUAAUUCGAUGAUACGCGAGGAACCUUACCUGGGCUAGAAUGCAUUUUGACCGCAGGUGAAAGCCUGUUUUGUAGCAAUACACAAUUUGUAAGGUGCUGCAUGGCUGUCGU